AAAGUGGCGCACGGGUGAGUAAUACAUGGGCAAUCUGCCUUUGAGAGGGGAAUAACCAGCCGAAAGGCUUGCUAAUACCCCAUACGCUUCCGGUCCCUCGGGUAAGGAAGGAAAGCUGCAUCGUGGAUGUGGCGCUCGAAGAUGGACUCAUGGCCUAUCAGCUUGUUGGUAGGGUAACGGCCUACCAAGGCUACGACGGGUAGCUGGUCUGAGAGGACGAUCAGCCACACUGGCACUGAGAUACGGGCCAGACUCCUACGGGAGGCAGCAGUGAGGAAUAUUGCGCAAUGGGCGAAAGCCUGACGCAGCGACGCCGCGUGGGGGAAGAAGGUUCUCGGAUUGUAAACCCCUUUUAGGAGGAAAGAUGGGGUGGGAAACCACCCGGACGGUACCUCCAGAAAAAGCCACGGCUAACUUCGUGCCAGCAGCCGCGGUAAUACGAAGGUGGCGAGCGUUGUUCGGAUUUAC
rnacentral:rRNA from 1 species